GAUGAACGCUGGCGGCGUGCCUAAUACAUGCGAGUCGAGCGAACAGACGAGGAGCUUGCUCCUCUGACGUUAGCGGCGGACGGGUGAGUAACACGUGGAUAACCUACCUAUAAGACUGGGAUAACUUCGGGAAACCGGAGCUAAUACCGGAUAAUAUAUUGAACCGCAUGGUUCAAUAGUGAAAGACGGUUUUGCUGUCACUUAUAGAUGGAUCCGCGCCGCAUUAGCUAGUUGGUAAGGUAACGGCUUACCAAGGCAACGAUGCGUAGCCGACCUGAGAGGGUGAUCGGCCACACUGGAACUGAGACACGGUCCAGACUCCUACGGGAGGCAGCAGUAGGGAAUCUUCCGCAAUGGGCGAAAGCCUGACGGAGCAACGCCGCGUGAGUGAUGAAGGUCUUCGGAUCAUAAAACUCUGUUAUUAGGGAAGAACAAAUGUGUAAGUAACUAUGCACGUCUUGACGGUACCUAAUCAGAAAGCCACGGCUAACUACGUG
rnacentral:rRNA from 1 species